UCGUUGAUCAUUCAUUAUGGCAUGUUUACUGUUUUGGGUGUGUUACUAACAUAGUGAAAUAUGCCUACAUUUUUGUCUAAUCUAAUGAGUAGCAGAAUACCUCCUUGGACCAUGAUGCUAGCCUUACAGUAGGAAAACUGGAAUUUCGAUAACAUCCACUUCAUUACCAAUCCUACAUACAGCAGAAGUUGCUUUCGGAGGUUAAGGACCUCCCCCAUCUUUAAUCGAUGGCUUGUGUCUACAGUCGGCUGCUUUAGGCUUAUCUCUCGAGUGGGGCCAAUGUGCAAUCACCUGUCUAUCUGUGUAGGAAUUAAUACUACACGCUGGAUUGAAGUGAUAGAACAUCAGAAACUUCAGAAAAGAACUAUAUAGCCUGGACAAACUAUGAGGUGUGCCUGUGGAUUGAACAAGAGGGUUUAGGUGUUUACACACUGAUUUCAUGAAUUUAUCUGUUGAGGGCAGCAUGAUGUCCCUGGCUUGUGUCCUGUCAUUUGCUGAUUCCACUGGUCCUAUGUUCUUUUUGGGACCUACACAGCCUCUCAUGUUCUGUUAGCUUAUUCUGGAGAGGCUCCCCUCCUUAUUCAUCAUUGUUCCAAGAUUAGUAAAUAAUAACAUUUCUAUUAAAAAGUGUUUGAAUGUUUUCUCAAUGUCCAGAAAACAUUGAUAAUUGUAACCUAGAUUGUUAAAAUGAUGGA